UAAAAAAUAUAUGUAUUUUCAAAAGCAUAAUGUGGAACAUCAUGUAGUAGAAGAGUAAGUGAGGAAAGUAGUACUGGCUAGUGUUGUCUCAUUGAACAUAAUUUACCACUGGCCAGCCUCCAAAUUCUCACACAGAA